AAAUGCAUGCUAUAUAUAUAUCAUAUUUAGAUCUUUGUGUAGGAUUAAUAUAUGUUAAUUAAUUAGAUUAAUUAAUAAUUUCAGCUGUAAAAUUAUAAUUUUGAAAAAGUUUUAAAAUUAUCAUUUUACCCCUGUAUUGAAUUCACUUCACACGUUCAAUGCGAAUGUACUCCUACAUUUUAUCUGCAUGCCAUAAUAGUAUCUCC
rnacentral:lncRNA from 1 species